rnacentral:rRNA from 1 species
UACAGGGGGUGCAACCGUUGCUCGGAUUCAUUGGGCGUAAAGGGUGCGUAGGCGGCGCGGUAAGUCGGGUGUGAAAUCUCGGAGCUUAACUCCGAAACUGCAUUCGAUACUGCCGUGCUUGAGGACUGGAGAGGAGACUGGAAUUUACGGUGUAGCGGUGAAAUGCGUAGAUAUCGUAAGGAAGACCAGUGGCGAAGGCGGGUCUCUGGACAGUUCCUGACGCUGAGGCACGAAGGUCAGGGGAGCAAACGGG